GACGAACGCUGGCGGCGUGCUUAACACAUGCAAGUCGAACGGAAAGGCCCUGCUCUUGUGGGGUGCUCGAGUGGCGAACGGGUGAGUAACACGUGAGUAACCUGCCCUUGACUUUGGGAUAACUUCAGGAAACUGGGGCUAAUACCGGAUAGGAGCUCCUGCUGCAUGGUGGGGGUUGGAAAGUUUCGGCGGUUGGGGAUGGACUCGCGGCUUAUCAGCUUGUUGGUGGGGUAGUGGAUUACGAAGGCUUCGACGGGUAGCCGGCCUGAGAGGGUGACCGGCCACAUUGGGACUGAGAUACGGCCCAGACGCCUACGGGAGGCAGCAGUGGGGAAUAUUGCACAAUGGGCGGAAGCCUGAUGCAGCAGCGCCGCGUGCGGGAUGACGGCCUUCGAGUGGUAAACCGCUUUCGCCGGUGACGAAGCGGGAGUGACGGUAAUGGGUAAGGAAGCACCGGCUAACUACGUG
rnacentral:rRNA from 1 species